CACGUAGGGCGCAAGCGUUGUCCGGAAUUAUUGGGCGUAAAGAGCUCGUAGGCGGUCUGUUGCGUCCGCUGUGAAAACUCGGGGCUUAACCCCGAGCCUGCAGUGGAUACGGGCAGACUAGAGGUAGGUAGGGGAGAAUGGAAUUCCCGGUGUAGCGGUGAAAUGCGCAGAUAUCGGGAGGAACACCGGUGGCGAAGGCGGUUCACUGGACCAUAACUGACGCUGAUGCACGAAAGCUGGGGGGAGCAAACAGG
rnacentral:rRNA from 1 species